rnacentral:tRNA from 2 species
GGAGCGGUAGGGCAGCCGGUUAGAAAUCCGGUUUGUCACAUCGGGAUCGAAGGUUCGAACCCCUGUCCGCUCCGCCA